UUAAACUGAAGAGUUUGAUCAUGGCUCAGAUUGAACGCUGGCGGCAAGCCUCAUACAUGCAAGUCGAGCGAGAACGUUACUUCGGUAGCUAGUAAAGCGGCGGACGGGUGAGUAACGCGUAGGAAUCUACCUUUCAGCGGGGGAUAGCUCGGGGAAACCCGAAUUAAUACCGCAUACACCCUAAGGGGGAAAGAGGGCCUAUCCUUGGAAGCUCUCGCUGUUAGAUGAGCCUGCGUGAGAUUAGUUUGUUGGUGGGGUAAUGGCCUACCAAGACUACGAUCUCUAGCUGGUCUGAGAGGACGAUCAGCCACACUGGGACUGAGACACGGCCCAGACUCCUACGGGAGGCAGCAGUAGGGAAUAUUGGACAAUGGGGGCAACCCUGAUCCAGCUAUGCCGCGUGUGUGAAGAAGGCUCUAGGGUUGUAAAGCACUUUAGGUAAGGACGAAAAGAAUAUAGUUAAUACCUAUAUUCCGUGACUUAACUUACAGAAUAAGGACCGGCUAACUCCGUGCCAGCAGCCGCGGUAAUACGGAGGGUCCAAGCGUUAAUCGGAAUUACUGGGCGUAAAGCGCGCGUAGGCGGUUUGUCAAGUUGGAUGUGAAAUCCCUGGGCUCAACCUAGGAACUGCAUUCAAAACUUAUAGACUAGAGUACGAUAGAGGAGAGUAGAAUUCCUGGUGUAGCGGUGAAAUGCGUAGAUAUCAGGAGGAAUACCAAUGGCGAAGGCAACUCUCUGGAUCGACACUGACGCUGAGGUGCGAAAGCGUGGGUAGCAAACAGGAUUAGAUACCCUGGUAGUCCACGCCGUAAACGAUGAGAACUAGCCGUUGGAUCUUAGAUUCAGUGGUACAGCUAACGCAUUAAGUUCUCCGCCUGGGGAGUACGGCCGCAAGGCUAAAACUCAAAUGAAUUGACGGGGGCCCGCACAAGCGGUGGAGCAUGUGGUUUAAUUCGAUGCAACGCGAAAAACCUUACCAACCCUUGACAUCUA
rnacentral:rRNA from 1 species